ensembl:lincRNA Gm9968 predicted gene 9968
CAUUAUUGUCUCCCGACGGAAAACUUUGCACCACACCAGAAUGCAGCCAUGUCUCCUGAAACUACCUCUCUUAAAACAGAAAGAAAAGAGACUCAAGAAGGGAGUUUCUUUGAAGCCCAUUUCUGGGCUUCUAGCAUGAGGAUCAUGGACCGGCUUGUAGAAGAGGACCCAUCCUCUCCUUACUCGAACCUCUAAUGCACACCAGAGUCUAACCUGCUCUCUCAGGGCAUCACAGCUUGGGCAGCAGAUCUGCUGUGCAGAUGUGCCACUGAAACCACUGGAAUCAAGAGCUAACUGCUAUUUAGGACACUUCUAUGAAGAACAGCAAGAUUACUCAAGCAUGUGAGAGCAGGUUUCUUCUGUCACCUUUUUUAGCUACAGAUGGGUCACACCUGAGGAUGGAUUUGGCACCCAAAAGGAUCUAGAGAAGAAAACUGGUCAGUCUGUGCAAGGUGUAACUACGUAACUGUGUAACUAUGUAACUGUGCAUGGAGGCAGCAACUGGAGAUUGUCAAUGAAACUCUUGGUGGUUUUGUUUGUUUAGAUUUUUUUGACAUUGUUUGUUUUGGUUUUUCAAGAUGGAACUCACGAUAUAGACCAGGAUGGUCUUGAACUCAGAGAACUACCUGUCUCUGUCUCCCAAGUGCUGGGAUUAAAGUUGUGUGCCACCACACUCAGCUUCUUGAUCUCUAUCUCAGGGCUGAAAAAGGAGUAAGAGAAAUCUUCCUCCAUGCCCUGCAGAGAAAGAAAUCUUCUCUCACACAUUCCAACUAUUAGGAGUUCAUUUGUGUUUAACACGACCCUCUUUAAAAUGUAAAUUUUCUUCGUGAACCUGUAAACCUCAUUCACACCUUAUUGUUAAUUACUUUGGUGUUCUAGAAUAUGAUCAGCACUUAACUGAUAUUGGCAAUCUAGGAAUGAACAAAUAGUUCAGUGUGGAAAGGGGGAAAUUUGGGUGGAAUAGAGGCAGAGGUGGAGUGUAAUCACUCACUUUGGGGAAAUGAGAAUAUACAGAUUUUCUAAGCCUUUGUUUAGGAGAGGGGCAGUAGCUACGGUGCAACAGAAUGGGAACCGUCCUGACUGCCAACAUCUGUCUGAGUUAGAACAAGUCUGCGAGCUACAAAAGUCAACUUCUCAAAUAUUUAAUCAUAACAACUUAAUUGAACUUAUUUUUUUUCUGGAAAUAUUUCUAGCUAAUUUUUUAGUACUACAAUUUGAUUACCUUGGCUUCUAAGAGUCAACCAAUUCAAGCUCCUAGGCAAGGUUUCACCACCAACUCAACAAAUUACAGAAAAAAAAGGAAAUGUGGUCUAAUUGUUUUAAAUUGUUUCAUAGUUCUUCCUUUCAGAGGUUACAAGUUGUAGUCCUAGAAUAUACUGGAAAGUCUUUGAGAAGAUCACCCACAAGAAUGGUAUUUAUCUGUUUGUCUUAGCAUCAUGGAACCUGUUGUCAAAAGGCUGGUGAUUAAAUCAUAGAAUGUAUGCAUGGAUAUAAACUUCACAUUGCAUUCUAUAUGCAUGUGCAGAAAUCUUUGUAUGUGUAUUAUGUAUCCAUAAAAAUAAAACUUGGAAAGUAUUCAAAAUUCGAAUCACACUUUAAUUGCCUUACACUACACAUCUUGAUAAGUAGAAAUGCAAGGAAAAACAUUUUAUGCCAUUUUGUAGCAGUAUUAAUCACCUCUCCUUUCAUAAGAAGAAUAUGCUCAACACUUCACUGUUAUGAAAAGGGUCUCUUUGCUGACAAAUGGACAAUGUGUUGGUUAGAGUUUCUACUGCUGAAAUGAAACAGAAUGACUAAAAGGAAACUUGGGUGGAAAAAGGUUUAUUCUGUUUCCAUAUCACUGUUUAUCAAUGAAAGAAGUCAGGACAGGAACUCAAUCAGGGCAGGAACCUGGAGGCAGGAGCUGAUGCAGAGGCCAUGGAGGGUUGAUGCUUACUGGCUUGCUCUCCAUGGCUUGCUCAGUCUAUUUUUCUUCUAGAAUCCAGGACUACCAGCCCAGGGGUGACCCCACCUACAAUGAUCUGGGUUCUCUCCAAACAAUCAGUAACAGAACGCUCUACAAGCUUGCCUACAGCCCAGUCUUAGAGACACAACCCAAUCUCAUGGAGCCUUUUCUUAACUGAGGCUCCCUCCUGGUAGAAGAGUUUAGCUGGUGACAAGCUGACACAGAACUCUCCAGUACAGAUACACGUGUUUACAUGUGUACAUGUAUAUACAUGUGUAUAUGAGCACACUGGGCUGGAACAUGCACUUCCCUCUAGUGCUGCUGCUUUCUUAGUCUACAGAUAAGCCUUCCUUCUAAGUAAACUCUAAUAUGGAAAUAAAGAUAUCCUCUGAUACGGAUCUAUUUCUGUAGAUGAGGGCUGACAACUGAUUUAGAAUGCAGGGGAUAGCAAAUGCUAUGUCACACAUUUUUCAAUCAAUGUAUCCCUUUGUGGCUUAGACACCUGUAUGCAUUUUGUCACAUACAGAGGCAGUUGUGGGAAAGGAAGUAUAUGUAGCUAAUCUUCAAUUGCUCACAAAGUACUAGACAAGCACUAUUUAUUAUGAAGCACAUGUCUCCAUACUGCCAGCUCACAUAUUACACCAGUGAGUCAUCAUUUUAAGCUGUCUUGCUUGGGGACAUGUGAUUCUCAGUUGGUCUAGAGAGUAACAGCUACUAAACUAAACUGACAUGGCUGAAGCACUGUUCCUUCAAAUAGAAGGUUAUUUUAGAAUAAACAAGGACUUCAAAUUGUUUACCAUGUUUUUUAACUUUGUAUAGUGUGCUGAUUUCUCCUUUGACAGUCCUUCUUUUUCUACAUAGCUUACCACUAUUACUUUCUAGUUCUUUCAUGUGACAAUGUGACACAUGAUUGGUUCUCUGUAAAUAUUUGUGGAGUGCACAAUUGACCAUCUGGACAAAUAUUAUGUCAACAAUGGAAAAAAAACACUUUCUGAUUAUGCAAAUUAAUGUACCUUAUUUUAAUUAUGAGAGUUAAUAAAUCCAUAAUAACA